UAGUAGAAGAUAUGAGUUCCAAAAGUAGAGUGGAUAUGAUGGCAGCAGGCAGUAUUGGGCUAUGUUUUUGUCCUCCCAAUCCCAAGUUUGGGAGUUCACAAUCACAUCCAUCAAAAUCUUCAUCUCUUUCACCAAAAAAAUCUUCAUCUCAAAUCAAAGCUUCAUCUUCAUGCAAUUCUCUCUCUUCUCCACUUAUUAAAACCCUUUCUGACAUCCAUACCUCUGGUGUCAUAGCUUGCCUUCGUGCUCCUAGUGCAGAGCUAGCGCUUGGGGCUGCACGAGCUGCACUACGUGGUGGCAUCAAAGUUUUGGAGGUUGUGAUGUCCACUCCAGGUGUGUUUGAGGUUUUGCACCAGCUUGUGCUGGAAAAUCCGACUAUGACUUUAGGAGUAGGAACCGUUCUAAAUACUCAAGAUGCUAGAAUUGCAAUGAAGGUUGGUGCUAAGUUCCUCAUGAGUCCUGCAAUGAUCAAGGAUGUACUUGCUGACGUCCAAGAUCAUGAAGUGUUAUACAUACCUGGUGUCAUGACUCCAACAGAAAUAUUGUCUGCUUAUCAUGCUGGUGCAAAGCUUGUAAAGGUUUAUCCCGUCUCUGCACUAGGUGGUGUUGAGUAUAUGUCAGCACUUAAGAAGCCUUUUCAUCACAUCCCAAUGGUUGCUUCUCAAGGAAUUAAAUUGGGUCUAGUAGCAGAAUUCAUCACUCGAGGAGCAUCGGCAGUAGUAUUGUCAGAUGCCAUUUUUCCUAAAGAAGCAAUUGCUCAAGGAGACUUUGACACUAUAUCUGAACGAGCGGAGCUUGCAGCUUCAACUGCCAUUGAAGCUAUAAAACAGCUUGAACUGGUAUGAGAUUAAUAACCAGUUUGCCUUGCCUAGUUCUUCCCCUCUUUCCGCUGAACAGGUUUCCCUGUUCAUCUCUAAGGUUAAACAGUAGCAGCUUUUAACAUCAAACUUGCACCCACAUAUGACUUGGUUGCUGUAGUGAACUCUUGCUAUAUUGACAUUUAACAAGUAACUAAGUCAGCAGCAGAACUAGCAGUCAGUUCAGGGUUCUUUUGGCUCUCAACUUUUCUGAAGCCCUCGGGCCUCGGAACCGAGUAAUUACAAGUAGGCUUCAAUUCUGGGCAAAGCACAUAGGGCUUCAAUUCUUUUGAAGGUCUUAUGUCACAUAUGUAGUAGGUCAAAAGAUGGUCGGAACUUUUAUUACUCCUAUCUCUUAGUAUAGUGAUUCUUAGUCACUAUAAUACACAUUACACAAUGUUAGAUCCUUUUUCAUUUCUUCAGUUUUAGGGUAAGGAUAAUUUAUUUGUCAAGGAUGAGGAUCGAACCCCUGUUAUAGGGAUGGAAGGAGGGUCUUACAAUCAUUAGGUCCUUGAUCCUCACACAAUGUUAGUUACUUGGGAUUUGGGAACAUUUUAUGUAUCUUUGUAUCUCUUACAACUGUUGAUAUUUCUCCUUAAUUUUCAUAUUAUUCAUA